rnacentral:lncRNA from 1 species
CGCCGCACGCAGUGAGGCGCCAUGUUUUCGUACGGAAACGCGAGAGGCAUGGCCGAGUGCCCGCCGAUGAGUCUCAGCUGGCGGUGGCUCGAAGCUGGGGAUGGCCCGCCCCUAGGCGCCAUGUUUCCAUACGGAAAGACGGAACGCGCGCCGCAUCCCAGCCGCUGGUGCGGGUGACGCGAGGAGAAAGGGAGGCGGAGAAGGCGCGGCUUUAAAAAAAAGUUAGUCCGGGCGCAGCAGCUCACGCCUGUAAUCCCAGCACUUUGAGAGGCCGAGGCGGGCGGAUCACGAGGUCAAGAGAUCGAGACCAUCCUGGCCAACAUGGUGAAACCUCGUCUUUACUAAAAAUACGAAAAUUAGCUGGGUGUGGUGGCGCGCGCCUGUAGUCCCAGCUACUCGGGAGGCUGAGGCAGGAGAAUCGCUUGAAUCUGGGAGGCGGAGGUUGCAGUGAGGCGAGAUCGCGCCACUGCACUGCGGCCUGGAGACAGACCGAGACUCUGUCUCAAAAACAAACAAACAAAAAAAAACUACAAAAAAGCAGAUGGGGUGACAUUGGUGCUUUCAAACACUGCUUCUAAAUAGAUCACAUGUGGGUAGUUAUUGCUAACGUAUUGAAGGCCGAGUGCAAUACCAGACCCUCAAACCAUUUACUAACUUGCACAUUAAAGUCUUUGCUUUAAAAAAAAAAAAAAAAAGACAAAAACAGAAGUUCUCUGGUGAAGAUUCACUUUUUGGAGGAAAAAACACCAAAAACCCUUAAGAUACUCAACUAAAUGGAACUGUUAAGAUCUACAAAGAAUGGC